rnacentral:rRNA from 1 species
UUAUACGGCCAUGCCACCCUGAGCAAGCCCAGUCCCACCUAAUCUUGGAAGCUAAGCAGGGUCAGGCCUGGUUAGUACUUGGAUGGGAGACCACCUAGGAAGACCAGGUGCUGUAGGCA